ensembl:lncRNA
CCCCUUUCCAGACCUCAUUUAAGGGUUGGCAGUGGAGGUAAGGGUUUCUUGCUGGAGAUCCUUGUGCGUGUGAGGCCUUUUGAAGGAGGCAUCGCAUGCUAUAAAUACUACACAUGCUAGCACAAUUGCCAGAGAAGUGAGGAAAGAAAAUUUCUUGAUCUGGUUGUUUACCCAGUGCCCCCUGAAGAAGAAAAUUCCUUUGAUUCCUGUGAGAACUGCAUUGACUGCUUAGUAUCUCCAUUGUCUACAACUAUAGAACUCAGUGUCUCAAUGCCACGUACAGAUGGUAUCUACAGGCAUCCCAGUGCAGCUCAAAGGAACAAAAGCAAUUUGAAUUCACAAUGAUGGAAAAGAAAG